rnacentral:rRNA from 1 species
GCUUGUCUCAAAGAUUAAGCCAUGCAUGCCUUAGAAUAAGCUUUCUACAGCAAAUCUGCGAAUGGCUCAUUAAAACAGUUAUAGUUUCAUGAGUAACUGGUUUUACAUGGAUACCUGUGGUAAUUCUACAGCUAAUACAUGCGUACUGACCCAACUCAGUGGAAGGGUCAUGCUUAUUAGUUCCAGAACCAACCCUGGUACUGCCAGGUGGUCUGGUGAUUCAUAACAAGUGGGUGGAUCAUUUGGCAAUUGCCUGUGAUGUAUCUUCUAAGUUUCUGACCUAUCAGCUUCCGACGGUGCGGUAUUGGCCCCCCGUGGCAAUGACGGGUAACGGAGAAUUAGGGUUUCAUUCCGGAGAGGGAGCCUGAGGAAUGGCUACCACAUCUAAGGAAGGCAGCAGG